rnacentral:rRNA from 1 species
UACGUAGGGUGCAAGCGUUGUCCGGAAUUAUUGGGCGUAAAGAGCUCGUAGGCGGUCUGUCGCGUCUGCUGUGAAACUCAGGGCUUAACCCUGAGCUUGCAGUGGGUACGGGCAGACUAGAGUGCGGUAGGGGAGACUGGAAUUCCUGGUGUAGCGGUGAAAUGCGCAGAUAUCAGGAGGAACACCGGUGGCGAAGGCGGGUCUCUGGGCCGAUACUGACGCUGAGGAGCGAAAGCGUGGGGAGCGAACGGG